rnacentral:rRNA from 1 species
GAAUUGCGAUAAGUAAUGUGAAUUGCAGAUUUUCAGUGAAUCAUCGAAUCUUUGAACGCACCUUGCGCUCCUUGGUAUUCCGAGGAGCAUGCCUGUUUGAGUGUCAUUGUUUAUUCUCAACCCAUGUCUUGAUUGAGUUCAAGGAAUGGCUUGGAGUUGGAAGUUGCUGGCGAUCGAUAGAAUAAGUCAGCUCUUCUGAAAUUGAUUAGCGAUCAGGACAAGCAGCAUUGUUCUGACGUGCACGGCCUUGCGACGUGAUAAUGAAUGUAUCGGUCGUGGCUGGAGCGUUGGUCAUUGCAUUUAACAUUUUGUCUUUGAUUCGCUUCCAAUCCUAAUCCUAAUCAUUAUCAUUCAUUUGAUUGAUUGAUUGAUUGAUUGAUUUCGAACUCUUGACCUCAAAUCAGGUAGGACUACCCGCUGAACUUAA